UACGUAGGGUGCAAGCGUUGUCCGGAAUUAUUGGGCGUAAAGGGCUCGUAGGCGGUCCAUCGCGUCGGGAGUGAAAAGCUGGGGCUUAACCCCAGUCCUGCUUCCGAUACGGGUGGACUAGAGGUAGGUAGGGGAGAUCGGAAUCCCUGGUGUAGCGGUGAAAUGCGCAGAUAUCAGGAGGAACACCGGUGGCGAAGGCGGAUCUCUGGGCCUUACCUGACGCUGAGGAGCGAAAGCAUGGGGAGCAAACAGG
rnacentral:rRNA from 1 species